rnacentral:rRNA from 1 species
GAUGAACGCUGGCGGCGUGCCUAAUACAUGCAAGUCGAGCGAACAGACGAGGAGCUUGCUCCUCUGACGUUAGCGGCGGACGGGUGAGUAACACGUGGAUAACCUACCUAUAAGACUGGGAUAACUUCGGGAAACCGGAGCUAAUACCGGAUAAUAUAUUGAACCGCAUGGUUCAAUAGUGAAAGACGGUUUUGCUGUCACUUAUAGAUGGAUCCGCGCCGCAUUAGCUAGUUGGUAAGGUAACGGCUUACCAAGGCAACGAUGCGUAGCAGACCUGAGAGGGUGAUCGGCCACAAUGGAACUGAGACACGGUCAAGACUCAUACGGGAGGCAGCAGUAGGGAAUCUUCCGCAAUGGGCGAAAGCCUGACGGAGCAACGCCGCGUGAGUGAUGAAGGUCUUCGGAUCGUAAAACUCUGUUAUUAGGGAAGAACAAAUGUGUAAGUAACUAUGCACGUCUUGACGGUACCUAAUCAGAAAGCCACGGCUAACUACGUG